rnacentral:rRNA from 1 species
GGAUAACGUGCCCUUAAGAGGAGGAUAAUCUCGGGAAAUUGAGGAUAAUACUCCAUAGAUCAUGGGACCUGGAAUGGCCCAUGGUUCAAAGUUCCGGCGCUUAAGGAUCGGUCUGCGGCCUAUCAGGUAGUAGUGGGUGUAACGUACCUACUAGCCUAUGACGGGUAUGGGCCUUGAGAGAGGGAGCCCAGAGUUGGAUUCUGAGACACGAAUCCAGGCCCUACGGGGCGCAGCAGUCGCGAAAACUUCACAAUGGGGGCAACCCCGAUGAGGGAAUUCCUAGUGCUAGCACAUUUGUGUUAGCUUUUCUUUAGCUUAGAAAACUAGAGGAAUAAGGGCUGGGUAAGACAGGUGCCAGCCGCCGCGGUAAUACCUGCAGCCCAAGUGGUGGUCGAUUUUAUUGAGUCUAAAACGUUCGUAGCCGGUUCGGUAAAUCUUUGGGUAAAUCGGGGGGGCUUAACCUUCCGACUUCCGAGGAGACUGCCGAACUUGGGACCGGGAGAGGCUAGAGGUACUUCUGGGGUAGGGGUAAAAUCCUGUAAUCCUAGAAGGACCACCGGUGGCGAAGGCGUCUAGCUAGAACGGAUCCGACGGUGAGGGACGAAGCCCUGGGUCGCAAACGGGAUUAGAUACCCCGGUAGUCCAGGGUGUAAACGCUGCAGACUUGGUGUUGGAGGCCCUUUGGGGGGCAUUCAGUGCCGGAGAGAAGUUGUUAAGUCUGCUACUUGGGGAGUACGUCCGCAAGGAUGAAACU